AGGACGUCCUGCUCCAACUGUUCCUCAGCAGCAUGGAGGACUUGAGAGGCUGGAGCUUCUCCAGGAUCAUUGAUCUCUCCAAUGUGCUGUGGAGAAGUCUGAUCUAAACUCUUCCAUGCUGUCAUCUUCAGUCGAACAAACUGGAGUGUCAACGUCCUGAGGUUGGAGGACGUCCUGUUCCAGCUGUUCCUCAGCAUCAGGGAGGAGGACUUCAGAGGCUGGAUAUUCUUGAGGAUCAGGGAUCUCCACGAUGUGCAGUAGAGACACCUGAUCUAAAGAGGGAAAUGCCAAUAAUAUGAAUAAAAUACUUCAGCUUUUUACUUAGGGGUACUUUUGAACCAUUAACCAUCUCCAAACAAUGUAGUGUAAAUGGAUUUGUUUCUGAAUUAAAAUUCCCACAUACUGAUCCUGGUUUGGUGAUGACACCUAAAAAAGCUAAUUCUCAACAACUA